rnacentral:rRNA from 1 species
UACGGAGGGGACUAGCGUUGUUCGGAAUUACUGGGCGUAAAGCGCACGUAGGCGGAUUUGUAAGUCAGGGGUGAAAUCCCGGGGCUCAACCCCGGAACUGCCUUUGAUACUGCGAAUCUCGAGUCCGGAAGAGGUGAGUGGAAUUCCUAGUGUAGAGGUGAAAUUCGUAGAUAUUCGCAAGAACACCAGUGGCGAAGGCGGCUCACUGGCCCGAUACUGACGCUGAGGUGCGAAAGCGUGGGGAGCAAACAGG